AGCAGCCGCGGUAAUUCCAGCUCCAAUAGCGUAUAUUAAAGUUGCUGCAGUUAAAAAGCUCGUAGUUGAAUUUCGGGACCAAUAUGUCGGUCGUGCCUCGGUACGUACUGGUAUUUUGGUUUCUCCCUUCUGACGAACCUUGAUGUCAUUAAUUUGGUGUCUUGGGAAAUCAGGACUGUUACUUUGAAAAAAUUUAGAGUGUUUAAAGCAGGCUCACGCUUGGAUACAUUAGCAUGGAAUAAUGAAAUAGGACGUUUGAUUCUAUUUUGUUGGUUUCUAGGAUCGACGUAAUGAUUAAUAGGGAUAGUUGGGGGCAUUAGUAUUCAAUUGUCAGAGGUGAAAUUCUUGGAUUUAUUGAAGACUAACUACUGCGAAAGCAUUUGCCAAGGAUGUUUUCAUUAAUCAAGAACGAAAGUUAGGGGAUCGAAGACGAUCAGAUACCGUCGUAGUCUUAACCAUAAACUAUGCCGACUAGGGAUCGGAUGAUGUUAAUUUUUUAAUGACUCAUUCGGCGCCUUAC
rnacentral:rRNA from 1 species